rnacentral:rRNA from 1 species
CCUACGGGGGGCAGCAGUGAGGAAUAUUGGUCAAUGGGCGGGAGCCUGAACCAGCCAAGUCGCGUGAGGGAAGACGGUCCUAUGGAUUGUAAACCUCUUUAGGCGGGGAGCAAUGCCGGGCACGCGUGCCCGGAGGGAGAGUACCCGCAGAAUAAGUAUCGGCUAACUCCGUGCCAGCCGCCGCGGGAAUACGGAGGAUGCGAGCGUUAUCCGGGUUUAUUGGGUUUAAAGGGUGCGUAGGCGGAUUUUUAAGUCAGCGGGAAAAUGUCCGGGCUCGACCCGGGGCGGCCGGUGAAACUGGGGGG